GAUCCCCUGCCUCAGAAAAAUAGAUCGAUCCCCUCGCUCUCUUCCACCUCACGCCGUCAGGGAGGCGCUCCAUGCGCGCGCCCGAUCCGCGGCACCCGCCAGUACAGCCCGACCCCGGCGAGGCUGCACCACCCUCGACCUCGCUAUUCCUCACCUCAGCUCUCCUCCUCCCAUGUUGCAUCGUGCCACCAUGUCCGAGCCGCUCGCCUCCGUUCCGAUGACGCCUGUGGACAGCACCGCCGUGCGUGCACCCUGCACGGCGCUGCCGCACCUCCUGCUCCUGCUGCCGUCUGCUGCAGCAAGCCGCCGCCUCGUUUCCCCUCCUUUCUCCCGUUUUCUCCUCCCCCCAUCUCCCCGUCUCCUUUCUGGCAGGAGCCUAGAUGCCAUGAAUUCGACCGGGAAGUCGCGCUUCAGCUUUAAUCAUCGUCACCGGCGACCUCCGUGGUCACCGUCCUCCUCUGAAUCCUCCCCAACCCGUGCCACGCACGGAUCCAUUCGCUGCAAGCUCCAGUCGUCGCCGCCGUUCUGCAGAUCGCGGGUUGAAUAGACGAAAACAUAGGGUCCUGUUUGUAAAUUUGAAACAUUUUUCUGAUUGACUAAAACCUGUAGUGCGGGUUGAUUUUAUGGAACUAUAGGGGGUUUUCUGUAAAUAUGCGCGACGAACGACCAGAAGCACUCCGUGCUUUAUUAGUAGGGAAAGAUAAGAUAAGAUAAGAUAUAGAUGUGACGCGAAAAUCCGUGCUGACCGUCCGAGCAAAACCAAAUUGUGCGAAGUCCACCACUUUUAUUCUCUGAUCCAGAUUGAUAUUCUCCUUCAAGUCCGGAUCGAUCUAGGUCUACUACGACACAAAUCGCUCAUCCAAUCUCCCCUCGCUGAGCAGGAAGGCUGGAAGGCGGCGACGACCCAGGUAGCGGCGGGAAGGCGGAGACGGACAGGGGAACGGCGGCUUUGCGUGCAGCGAAGAAGGGAGAAGCAGCAAGGCCGCGGUAGGAAGGCUGCAAGUCGUCUGCUAGCAUUCCCUACUCCUCUGCCCGCCCCUCCAGCCUGCCCGCUGGCGGCGCUCUACUCCUUCGGCUACCCAUCUUCUCCUUCACCGUGUACGACGGCGAGACUAACCUCCGCGGUGUUUGGGAAUAGCUGAACUUUGGCAGCUGCUGCUGGUGUUGUAUCAUGAUGGAAAUUCAGUCGAUCAGCAAUUGAAUUUGACUAUUUGAACAUGCUAGCUGCUGUCGUACAAGAGGUGAAGGGUAGUUAUACUGUUUACUGCUUGUGAUGUACUAUGUGUUCACAAAUUUUACCUAGAUGUAUUAUGUGUUCACAAAUUUACAUUCAUUCUGUGAGACUGUGACGCUGGACACAAUACCACAAUAAAGGUUUGAUGGAUAAAGCAAGUCACCGAUCUGAAAAUGUGGAGCCUAGUUGAAGUGAUGAAUUCAUUACUGUUAUUUUUUAUUUUAUGUCCAUGUACUUUAUAAUUUGAACAAGAAGAUUUGUAGGUGUGACUGCCCUAAAGUGUCCAUACUAGAUCUCAAAUACGUUGGUGUUGGUUGUGCUGUUUCCUAAACACUCUUACACAUGUUACUGUCAAAGAAAAAACAUUCUUACACA